rnacentral:rRNA from 1 species
GAACGAGAAAGUGGAGCAAUCCAUGAGUAAAGUGGCGCACGGGUGAGUAACACGUGACUAACCUACCUUUGAGUGGGGGAUAACCUAGGGAAACCUGGGCUAAUACCGCAUAAUACUUACGAGUCAAAGCAGCAAUGCGCUCGAAGAGGGGGUCGCGGUCGAUUAGUUAGUUGGCAGGGUAAUGGCCUACCAAGACUGUGAUCGAUAUCCGGCCUGAGAGGGCGCACGGACACACUGGAACUGAAACACGGUCCAGACUCCUACGGGAGGCAGCAGUGGGGAAUUUUGCGCAAUGGGGGAAACCCUGACGCAGCAACGCCGCGUGGAGGAUGAAGACCCUUGGGUCGUAAACUCCUUUCGAUCGGGACGAUAAUGACGGUACCGGAAGAAGAAGCCCCGGCUAACUUCGUGC